rnacentral:rRNA from 1 species
AUGAACGCUGGCGGCGUGCCUAAUACAUGCAAGUCGAGCGAACAGACGAGGAGCUUGCUCCUCUGACGUUAGCGGCGGACGGGUGAGUAACACGUGGAUAACCUACCUAUAAGACUGGGAUAACUUCGGGAAACCGGAGCUAAUACCGGAUAAUAUAUUGAACCGCCUGGUUCAAUAGUGAAAGACGGUUUUGCUGUCACUUAUAGAUGGAUCCGCGCCGCAUUAGCUAGUUGGUAAGGUAACGGCUUACCAAGGCAACGAUGCGUAGCCGACCUGAGAGGGUGAUCGGCCACACUGGAACUGAGACACGGUCCAGACUCCUACGGGAGGCAGCAGUAGGGAAUCUUCCGCAAUGGGCGAAAGCCUGACGGAGCAACGCCGCGUGAGUGAUGAAGGUCUUCGGAUCGUAAAACUCUGUUAUUAGGGAAGAACAAAUGUGUAAGUAACUAUGCACGUCUUGACAGUACCUAAUCAGAAAGCCACGGCUAACUACGUG